rnacentral:lncRNA from 1 species
CCUAGUCCACGUCCAAUACCAACUAGUAUUGGAGACUCACUUUUAUUUCUUUAAAUAUCCCUUGUUACAAAACAGACUCUAUCAAAAUGAAUUACAAUAAUUCACUUGAGCACACUUGCUCCUUGUGCACCAAUGCACCCCUUAAGCACCUAAGCUUUCUUGAACCUGUUUGUAAAUACACCUUAAUCCACCCGGAUUAAAAAAAACCUUUAGACAACACUUAGUCUAAAAAUAUAAGAUUACAAUUAUAGAGGUCUAAUGAUCAAAGCAAAUAAAUAAUUUAACAAUGCAAGGCUCAACUAAUGAAUGCAAUGAUCAAGUAGUAAAAGUAAGAGAUAUCACCAAUAUGAAGCUCACGAAAAUAGCUGAGAAUAAUAUGAAUAUAAUUUGCACAGCAGCUGGAAAUUUUGCACCGAAAACAACGAAGUUACUUUUCAAGUAUAUGAGUGCAAUAAUUGAUUCAAGUGUUGUAAAUAAGCACUAAUAUCUCAGUUGAAUUUAUAGGCCAAAAAUAUUACCGUUGCCCUCUAAGAGAUAAAUCAGUUUCGUUUUAAACAUAUAACCAUUUAUUUCCGUUGAAACAUUAUUUACGUUGCCAAAAAAUUUCCAGAAGAUAAGUAACGCUUUUUAUUUUUGUUGGAAACAAUUCAAAAGAUAUAGACUAUGUCAAAAAUAACCCAUGAAAUAAGUUACGUGUAAAAACUCAAAUAGUCUAUAUGAAUAAUACUUGCCGCCUCAUAAAUGAUAAAAGAUACUGCAUUUUCAAACUUAAAAGAUGAUGGGGUGUUAGUUUUGUAAAUAAUAGAAAAUGUAACAUAGCUCAACUCUCUAGGAUAAUCAUUAUCUUAUGUUUCCAGGAAUCAUGCAUUUAAUCCACUAACUGAUAAUAAUCACAUUUCUGCCGCUACAAGCUAAAACAACUUUUGAGUAUCCAACAAGUUUUGUUGCACACGUGUUUAUAUAGAUAUUUAUAUAAACUUAAAAUUCUAACACAUGACAAAUAUCAUUCAAUUAAU